GAUGAACGCUGGCGGCGUGCCUAAUACAUGCAAGUCGAGCGAACGGACGAGAAGCUUGCUCCUCUGAUGUUAGCGGCGGACGGGUGAGUAACACGUGGAUAACCUACCUAUAAGACUGGGAUAACUUCGGGAAACCGUAGCUAAUACCGGAUAAUAUUUUGAACCGCAUGGUUCAAAAGUGAAAGACGGUCUUGCUGUCACUUAUAGAUGGAUCCGCGCUGCAUUAGCUAGUUGGUAAGGUAACGGCUUACCAAGGCAACGAUGCAUAGCCGACCUGAGAGGGUGAUCGGCCACACUGGAACUGAGACACGGUCCAGACUCCUACGGGAGGCAGCAGUAGGGAAUCUUCCGCAAAGGGCGAAAGCCUGACGGAGCAACGCCGCGUGAGUGAUGAAGGUCUUCGGAUCGUAAAACUCUGUUAUUAGGGAAGAACAUAUGUGUAAGUAACUGUGCACAUCUUGACGGUACCUAAUCAGAAAGCCACGGCUAACUACGUG
rnacentral:rRNA from 1 species